rfam:Equus caballus chromosome 30, whole genome shotgun sequence.
CCACUGGUUUUUUUAAAAACCAACAGAAUCUUUGUAAAAUGUUGUUU